ACGGCCUAGAGUAAACAAGCCUCUGUAUAACUACGUAUACAUAAUUCGAUUGACGCUCACCGUCUCACCAUUAAUAUUAAUCAUAUCGUCCCCUCUUCCCAUCUUUCUUCCCAUCUCCUCCCCCUUCCCCCUCCCCCUCCUCCAUCCCUUUUCCUUUUCUUUCCACGAAGAAGGAAACAUGUUGCUAAGCGUUAAUAGAAAAAUGUAAAUAGGAAAAGACACGAGGACAAAGGAAAUGGAAAUUUCAAACGCGAAUACCCUGAUAUAACGAGACACCAUAAUUGUUUUUUGCACCGUAAUAUAAGAUGCAUGACAUCAAAUUAUGCUCGCUGCUUUUUCAAUAUUCACUUGAUUCUCUUGAGUUAAAAGAUUCUUCUCUAUAAAAAAUUGUAUCCUUGCGUCCUUGGUCAACCUUCGAGGAAAUAGUCGAGGCUUUGCGACACCUUCGAGACGCUUAAAUGCUUGUUUAAACAAUCAAUCCACCCGUUGUUCUGACAUUUCAUACGUGUAAACCUGCACGUGCACCGGUAGAACGUUGGUAAAGCCUUGCCAGCCUGCACAAAUAAGGUUGAUCGGUAUUUCUAUGGUGAAUGCUGCUCCUCUAAGAGGCAAACUAUUGUACUCUUUGUUCGAGAUUAAUGCUAUAAUUAUCAACCUCUAAUGUAUAAUUAAUAUAUUAAUAGAUAUGAAAGAAAAAAUGCUAAAA